rnacentral:rRNA from 1 species
AACGAGCGCUGGCGGCAUGCCUAACACAUGCAAGUCGAACGAGACCUUCGGGUCUAGUGGCGCACGGGUGCGUAACGCGUGGGAACCUGCCCUUAGGUUCGGAAUAACACCCCGAAAGGGGUGCUAAUACCGGAUAAUGUCUUCGGACCAAAGAUUUAUCGCCUUUGGAUGGGCCCGCGUUGGAUUAGCUAGUUGGUAGGGUAAAGGCCUACCAAGGCGACGAUCCAUAGCUGGUCUGAGAGGAUGAUCAGCCACACUGGGACUGAGACACGGCCCAGACUCCUACGGGAGGCAGCAGUGGGGAAUAUUGGACAAUGGGCGAAAGCCUGAUCCAGCAAUGCCGCGUGAGUGAUGAAGGCCUUAGGGUUGUAAAGCUCUUUUACCCGGGAUGAUAAUGACAGUACCGGGAGAAUAAGCCCCGGCUAACUCCGUG